AAUAUUGGACAAUGGGGGCAACCCUGAUCCAGCCAUGCCGCGUGUUUGAAGAAGGACUUCUGUUUGUAAAGCACUUUAAGUUGGGAGGAAGGGCUUUAGGUUAAUACGCUGAAGUAUUGACGUAACCAACAGAAUAAGCACCGGCUAACUCGGUGCCAGCAGCCCCGGUAAUACAGAGGGUGCAAGCGUUAAUCGGAAUUACUGGGCGUAAAGCUCGCGUAGGUGGUUCAGUAAGAUGGGUGUGAAAUCCCCGGGCUUAACCUGGGAACUGCUUUCAUAACUGCUGAGCUAGAGUACGGUAGAGGGUAGUGGAAUUUCCUGUGUAGCGGUGAAAUGCGUAGAUAUAGGAAGGAACACCAGUGGCGAAGGCGACUACCUGGACUGAUACUGACACUGAGGUGCGAAAGCGUGGGGAGCAAAC
rnacentral:rRNA from 1 species